GGCAGAGAGAAAAAAAUGAAAACACUCGCACACAGGCACAGCGUCCUCAGUUUCAUGAAAGGCAAAAAGGAAUAUGAACAUGGGAAUACAUACACACACACACACACACACACACACACACACAUGAACGCAGAGCAAGAGCAGCGACUGCGGCAGAGGGCGCUCUGCUUCUUCCCUUCGUCCUGCGGCAUUUGUUGUUGUUGUGUGUGUGUCACGGCAGGCCAAAAAGGAAACGCAGGCUGCUGGGACAGCUGCUGCUCAGCUCCCGCUGGCAGCGAAACGGAACCGGUGUAUUCAGCUCUCUUCAAUUCCAAAAAAAAAAUAUAUAUAUAUACAAAAAAGGAACAAAAAUGAAAAGGAUACCAUCUUCAACAACUUGAAGUUUGCAUACUCUUGGUAGCAGAACUAAAUCUUGCUUUCAAGUAGGUUAUCUCUCUUAAAUCGAAGCGUUCAUAUUACGUAUUAUAUACAAAUCUUUAUACUAUAUUCAGACUAUCGAAAGUCAUGUCUAACUAUCCGUUCAACUUAAUUCCCAACUUGAUUGCUGUACAAAUAGCUCAUAAAAACUAUAGCACCAUCCGCAGCAGUAUAGAAAGUUGAAUUCUUUUUUCAAAACGCAUGCGCAGAUGGGAAAAAAUAAAUAAAGCAAAAGCAAAUGUUAUGAGCAUAAUCCAACAACACGCCAUAACUAUGUAAGUACAUACAUAUGUGUAUAUUGGCAAGUUUUCGAGUGGAAAUAAGGGCAACCCAUUAAACAACAAAUCGCCUACGAUUGAUAAGCAAGAACAGAAGUGAAAGAAGUGGGAUCGAAUCAUAUAUGCAGCGUCCACUAGAUGCAGAAUAGUGUUCCAUUAAAGGAUUUCAGCGAGCUUAGUAAUGCGCUUAGGAGCUGCCAGCACAGAAGGAUGAAGAUAGAGAGUGUCUUUCGGAAAGAAGGACUGCAAAUGGCAAUCAAAAUUCACUUACGACAGCCGCAAUUAAAAAACUUUUACGUUCUCAUGCACACACGGAAACACCAAGCAAACCAAAGGAGGAGGAAACGUACGUAAUUGAAGUACCACGCUCACCGUACGGAUAUCAGUUACAUAUAAGUUUAGCUACUGCACCAUUUCUGUUGGUGUCACGGCGAAAAAACCAUCGGGGGAAUGUUGAGGAUUCUAUGUAGGAGCGUAGUCGAGGAUGCGGCAAACAAGUCGGAAGGAAGCAUCAAACUACUAAUUUUAUGCCGAGCACAGAAAGCGAAGAAGGAACCGGAUAUUGACGAAAUUCCACGGCUGCCGCUCUCCGUUUGCCCCACAAAAGUUCCCUCUACGAACUUAUUAAUCAAAUGAUCAAAGGGAGCCCAGAGCCAACUCAAACCCAAGCGACAAAUCGCGUUGGCUGGCCAAAAAAAAAAUAAAAAACUAUCAGGAAACCAGAUGUCGCUGCCAGGACUCGUCGUUUGCUUCAGCUGCCGCAAUUCAAGGAAUGCCUACGAAAAGGGUGCCCUUUCUUGCCAUUUUCUGGAAGGUAUUCAAGGUUGUGCUAGGCAAUCGCAUUUAAUGUCAUUAUCUUUUAAAUUAAAUUAUGAAGGAACGGGUCUGGAAUUUAGAGCUCCAAUUUAGUAGCAUUAAAGGCACCAACAGAGAGCGUGAGAUACUGAGUUACUACUAUACCAUGUGCACAUAACAGUGAGAUCGAAACAUUAUAUAUUAUGAAGUCAUAUAUAGUUCUACAGAAAUACAUUGAAAUCGAUUAGAAAGAAGCACCCUGUAUCCAAGUAUACGUGUGUAGGUAGCACCUGUUUGGCAUUCAUUAAGACGAACAGCAAGCAACAAAUGUAAGCCGCAGGCAGCCAGACGGCAAAGCAGGCAAGCGGAGACUUGAACAAAAGCCAAUGGCACGCUCAAUCCUCAAAUGCAUUUCAGGGCAUUUCGGAUUUACGCACACACGCAUACACACAAUGAAUGACGACGGCUGCAGGAUCAGCCUGACUGGCCUGCCUGGUGGAGUCGAAGUAGAAGCAGCUGUCGCUCAUUAUUGUGAGACCCUGACAGAUGCCUCUUCUCUCCUGCCUCCUUGGCACAGGACAACAUUUUAAUGGGCAGCAUGGGCGACAUGAAACACGAAUAAGUUGUCUAUGAACCGUGAGCCUAUAUCGGCAACACAUGUCAUGUCCCAGGAAUGCGACAAUUUUGGAUCUAGUUUUGGGGGGAAAAUGUUUUAAAAAUAAUCUAAUCCCAGGCAGCUAAGUUGAGAAACGAACUGAAUAGAUAGAUAGAACGAUAACUUAGCCUAAGGAAGUAAUUAUGAUAACCCCAAGCGAGGAGAUGAGCAGCGGAAAACCGGCUGCGUCAGAAACUCCGAGCGGGAAACGGCAGAAGGAUAAAGCCAAAUGGAAAGGAAACAGCUGCUUGCAGGGCCAGUUGUGGCCAUUGCCCAUGUUGUUCUUGCCGCAACGAAGAAGGCAGUAAAGUAACGAGGACGACAUCCUUUUUUUCAGUUAAAACGCAACCAAAAGGGGACCAAAUACAAAAAAUAAAAAAAAAUGAAGGUACAAAUGCAAAGAAGACAGGAAAACACAUGCUAGUCGGUGAGGCACAAACUAGGGAUUCAGGGAUUCUUCCCAUUCUGAUCAUCUGCCGUGACCAUCAAAGCGACGGACGGCAGCUGCAAGGAUGCUGCUGCUGCAAAGGAGCCGCGAGUCUCGUCUAAGAAAUUCAUAAUAACAAUACAGCAACUUAGGCAACAGAACGAAAAGAGGCCACGAUGCUGUAGGAAUAUACAGACGUAAGCUUUUUGUUUGCCGCCGCGGACUUGUUGACCUCCAUAAAAAACAGCGCAGCAGCGCAAAAAUAUGAAUAUGCAAGAGCAUAGAAGAGAACCGAAAGUAGGAGGCACUUUUAAUUCAAGGCUCUUGGGCUUGGGCAGGACAGUGUUCCAAUUAAAAUGCAGCCCCUCCCGUCGUCGCUAAUUAAUGAGCCAAGCCAAAUUGCGGAUGGCAAAAAAAAAAAGUGCGAUGCAGGUGCGAGGAAACGCGAGAGUUCGCCAAUUGAUUCACAUCACACUCCGUCGCAGCUCACACCUCGGAAUCGACCCCAAUCCUGCACAGCGGGCCUUACAUUGCGAAUUGCGCAAUUGAAAAGCGUUUGGCGUGGCCGGGAACCAUUUUCAACCAUUCACCAUCCACCUGCCCUUCGCAACUGCCGUUUGGUAUUUGCCAGUGAAGAGGUGGCUGCCAAAGUGACAAGUGCGUUAUGAAAGCCUUGGCACAGACGUCAGCAACAGAUUCCCCAACUGAACGCCAUUCCAAACCGUACACACUCAUUGAUGGAAAUGCAUUCUACUGUCGUUGCCACGGAGCAAGGACCUGUGCGUACGGAGCCCGUCGGAACUGGAUGCCAGGACGCAGCAGCAUAACUCGCAUAAAGUUUUCGAUUUAACCAAGCGCAAAGUUAUGUUGACGGGUUUCGGGUUCACGUGACUGCCGCAAACGUUUGGGAUCGUCAAAAACAUGUCACAAAUUGCCACUAACAAUGCGGGCCACCUCACGUCCUGACCUGCAUCUCCUUCUGCACUCAUGUCCUUCCUGCCUCGUUCCCACUAUUCGCUCGUAAUAGGCCCAAUUAAGUUAGCCUUCAUUUGUCAUGGCUGGCUGGCGAUGUCAGUUGACCGCAGGACACUGGCAUUAUAUGGCAUGGAGAGCCGUGUGAACGCCGCACAUGCGAGGGCACAACUGGGAAUUACAUCAGAAAUAGCGGAAAUACUUGAGCUAAAUAUGUAAUCAGCAAGAGCCUUGGGAUCGGGCACAUCAAUAUGUUACAGGUCGUGUAAUAGAAGUCCCUUUUCCCUAGUCUGUCCAUUGGCUGGCUGUCGUUUUCCCACAACAAAGUUUACCUCACUCAGACCGCUAUGUAAUAGCUGGCUCGUAUGAAAAUUAUACGAUCGAUAAAAAUUGUAACAUUAUAAUUAUACAGCCUUUAUGGGUGAAAAGAACUAUUAAAUACAAACUGUAUUGUCAACUGCAGCUAA